rnacentral:lncRNA from 1 species
GUGUGCCACUGCACAUGUUACUGUUUAUUUUUAAAGUAGUCAAUAGUCCUUUUAUUUUUAAAGUCUCAUUGAUUUGUAUACAUUUUACCAGAUCAAACACAUCCUUUCCCCCCUGCCCCAAACUUAGUGUGGGGUUGGCGUGAACUUUGAGAUGUAGGCUUAGUAGUCAAGCACUUGUCUAAUGUGUGUGAGGCUCUGGGUAUAAUCUCCAGCACUGAGAAAAACUUUAUAGAGAAGGAAAUACAGCCACAUUAAACAGAAUGAUAUUUGCUUGAUGACUUUUACUGAUGAGAUUUCAUGGAGCACAAUUAAAAAUACCACAAUAAGCUGGAUCAGGAGCACACACUAGUAAUCCCAGCCAUGUGGGAGGUUGAGGCAGCGGGAUCACAAGUUCAAAGCCAGCCUGGGCAAUACAGUGAAAUCCUAUCUUAAAAAAAUAAAAUCAUGCUCUUGGAUAGGCAGAAUUAAUAUUAUCAAAAUGAUCAUACUUCCAAAAGCACUAUAGAAAUUUAAUGCAAUUCUGAUCAAAAUUCCAAUGACAUUCCUCAUAGAAAUAGAAAAAGCAAUCAUGAAAUUCAUCUGGAAAAAUAAGAGACUCAGAAUAGUUAAAGCAAUCCCUAGCACGAAGAGUGAAGCAGGAGGCAUCACUAUACCAGACCUUAAACUAUACUACAGAGCAAUAGUAACAAAAACAGCUUGGUAUUGGCACCAAAACAGACUGGUAGACCAAUGGUACAGAAUAGAGGACAAAGAGACUAACCCACAAAACUACAAUUAUGUUAUAAUUAGACAAAGGUGCCAAGACCAUGCAUUGGAGAAAAUAUAGCCUUUUUAACAAAUGGUGCUGGGAAAACUGGAAAUCCAUAUGCAACAAAAUGAGAUUAAACCCCUAUUUCUCACCAUGCACAAAACUCAACUCAAAAUGGAUCAAGGACUUAGGAAUACAACCAGAAACCCUGCAUAUAAUAGAAGAAAACGUAGGCCCUAAUCUUCAUCAUGUGGGAUUAGACCCCAACUUCUUGUGACUCUGUGUCACAAGAAUUAAAAUCAAGAAUCAAUAAAUGGGAUGGACUCAAACUAAAAUGUUUAUUCUUAGCAAAAGAAACAACCUGUGAGGUGAAUAGAGAGCCUACAUCUUUGGGAGCAAAUCUUUACCCCUCACACAUCAGAUAGAGCACUAAUCUCUAGGGUAUAUAAAGAACUCAAAAAACUAGACACCAAAACAAACAAACAAACAAACAAACAAAAAAAAAACAAAUCACCCAAUCAAUAAAUGAGCCAAGGACCUGAAGAGACACUUCUCAGAAGAUGAUGUACAAUGAAUCAACAAACACAUGAACAAAUGUUCAUCAUCACUAGCAAUUAGAGAAAUGCAAAUCAAAACCAUUCUAAGAUUUCAUCUCACUCUAGUCAGAAUGGCAGCUAUUAUGCAUACAAACAACAGUAAGUGUUGGCGAGGAUGUGGGGAAAAAGGUACACUCAUACCCUGCUGGUGGGACUGCAAAUUGGUGCAGCCAAUAUGGAAAUCAGUAUGGAGAUUUCUUGGAAAAUUGGGAAUGGAACCACCAUUUGGCCCAGCUGUCCCUCUCCUCGGUCUAUACCCAAAGGACUUAAAAACAGCAUACUACAGGGACACAGCCACAUCAAUGUUUAUAGCAGCACAAUUCACAAUAGCUAAACUGUGGAACCAAUCUAGA